UACGUAGGUUGCGAGCGUUGUCCGGAUUUACUGGGCGUAAAGCGCGCGCAGGCGGCUUCGAAAGUCCACGGUGAAAGCUCCCGGCCCAACUGGGAGAGGCCCGUGGAAACUCCGGAGCUUGAAGGCAGGAGAGGCAGAUGGAAUUUCCGGUGUAGCGGUAAAAUGCGUAGAUACCGGAAGGAACACCAGUGGCGAAGGCGAUCUGCUGGCCUGUUCUUGACGCUCAGGCGCGAAAGCUAGGGGAGCGACCGGG
rnacentral:rRNA from 1 species